rnacentral:rRNA from 1 species
UACAGAGGUCCCAAGCGUUGUUCGGAUUCACUGGGCGUAAAGGGUGCGUAGGUGGCAGGGUAAGUUUGAUGUGAAAUCUCCGGGCUUAACCCGGAAACUGCAUUGAAUACUAUCCUGCUCGAGGUUUGGAGGGGGGACCGGAAUUCUCGGUGUAGCAGUGAAAUGCGUAGAUAUCGAGAGGAACACCAGUGGCGAAGGCGAGUCCCUGGACAACACCUGACACUGAGGCACGAAAGCUAGGGGAGCAAACAGG